rnacentral:rRNA from 1 species
AGGGUGUAAACGCUGCAGACUUGGUGUUGGGAACCCUUCGGGGGUGGCUCAGUGCCGGAGAGAAGUUGUUAAGUCUGCUACUUGGGGAGGUACGUCCGCAAGGAUGAAACUUAAAGGAAUUGGCGGGGGAGGCACCGCAACGGGAGGAGCGUGCGGUUUAAUUGGACUCAACGCCGGGAAGCUCACCGGAUAAGACAGCGGAAUGAUUGCCGGGCUGAAGACUCUGCAUGACUAGCUGAGAGGUGGUGCAUGGCGUAGACGUCU